rnacentral:piRNA from 1 species
UGGCAAGACCAAGAGGGAAAGACUUCCGUC